CGUCAGUGGCAGACGGGUGAGUAACGCGUGGGAACGUACCUUUUGGUUCGGAACAACUGAGGGAAACUUCAGCUAAUACCGGAUAAGCCCUUACGGGGAAAGAUUUAUCGCCGAAAGAUCGGCCCGCGUCUGAUUAGCUAGUUGGUGGGGUAAUGGCCCACCAAGGCGACGAUCAGUAGCUGGUCUGAGAGGAUGAUCAGCCACAUUGGGACUGAGACACGGCCCAAACUCCUACGGGAGGCAGCAGUGGGGAAUAUUGGACAAUGGGCGAAAGCCUGAUCCAGCCAUGCCGCGUGAGUGAUGAAGGCCCUAGGGUUGUAAAGCUCUUUUGUGCGGGAAGAUAAUGACGGUACCGCAAGAAUAAGCCCCGGCUAACUUCGUGCCAGCAGCCGCGGUAAUACGAAGGGGGCUAGCGUUGCUCGGAAUCACUGGGCGUAAAGGGUGCGUAGGCGGGUUUCUAAGUCAGAGGUGAAAGCCUGGAGCUCAACUCCAGAACUGCCUUUGAUACUGGAAGUCUUGAGUAUGGCAGAGGUGAGUGGAACUGCGAGUGUAGAGGUGAAAUUCGUAGAUAUUCGCAAGAACACCAGUGGCGAAGGCGGCUCACUGGGCCAUUACUGACGCUGAGGCACGAAAGCGUGGGGGAGCAAACAGGAUUAGAUACCCUGGUAGUCCACGCCGUAAACGAUGAAUGCCAGCCGUUAGUGGGUUUACUCAC
rnacentral:rRNA from 1 species